rnacentral:rRNA from 1 species
CGCUGAACUUAAGCAUAUCAAUAAGCGGAGGAAAAGAAACCAACAGGGAUUGCCCUAGUAACGGCGAGUGAAGCGGCAACAGCUCAAAUUUGAAAUCUGGCGCAAGCCCGAGUUGUAAUUUGUAGAGGAUGCUUCUAGGUAGCGACCGGUCUAAGUUCCUUGGAACAGGACGUCAUAGAGGGUGAGAAUCCCGUAUGUGACUGGCCCGCACCUUCUACGUAGCUCCUUCGACGAGUCGAGUUGUUUGGGAAUGCAGCUCUAAAUGGGAGGUAAAUUUCUUCUAAAGCUAAAUACCGGCCAGAGACCGAUAGCGCACAAGUAGAGUGAUCGAAAGAUGAAAAGCACUUUGGAAAGAGAGUUAAAAAGCACGUGAAAUUGUUGAAAGGGAAGCGCUCACAACCAGACUUCUGGGCGGUGUUCCGCCGGUCUUCUGACCGGUCUACUCACCGUCCCGAGGCCAACAUCAUCUGGGACCGCCGGAUAAGACCUUAGGAAUGUAGCUCCCCUCGGGGAGUGUUAUAGCCUGUGGUGAUGCGGCGCGUCUCGGGUGAGGUCCGCGCUUCGGCAAGGAUGUUGGCGUAAUGGUUGUCAGCGGCCCGUCUUGAAACACGGACCAAGGAGUCUAACAUCUAUGCGAGUGUUCGGGUGUCAAACCCCUACGCGUAAUGAAAGUGAACGGAGGUGGGAAGGGUAACCUGCACCAUCGACCGAUCCUGAUGUCCUCGGAUGGAUUUGAGUAAGAGCAUAGCUGUUGGGACCCGAAAGAUGGUGAACUAUGCCUGAAUAGGGUGAAGCCAGAGGAAACUCUGGUGGAGGCUCGCAGCGGUUCUGACGUGCAAAUCGAUCGUCAAAUUUGGGUAUAGGGGCG